UACGGAGGGUGCAAACGUUGCUCGGAAUUAUUGGGCGUAAAGCGCACGUAGGCGGCCGACUAAGUUGGGUGUGAAAGCCCAGGGCUCAACCCUGGAAGUGCACUCGAAACUGAUCGGCUUGAAUAUGGAAGAGGGUCGCGGAAUUCCCGGUGUAGAGGUGAAAUUCGUAGAUAUCGGGAGGAACACCAGUGGCGAAAGGCGGCGCCUGGGCCAAAUAUUGACGCUGAGGUGCGAAAGCGUGGGGAGCAAACAGG
rnacentral:rRNA from 1 species